rnacentral:rRNA from 1 species
AUUGAACGCUGGCGGCAUGCCUUACACAUGCAAGUCGAACGGCAGCACGGGAGCAAUCCUGGUGGCGAGUGGCGAACGGGUGAGUAAUACAUCGGAACGUGCCCAGUAGUGGGGGAUAGCCCGGCGAAAGCCGGAUUAAUACCGCAUACGACCUACGGGUGAAAGCGGGGGAUCGCAAGACCUCGCGCUAUUGGAGCGGCCGAUGUCAGAUUAGCUAGUUGGUAGGGUAAAAGCCUACCAAGGCGACGAUCUGUAGCUGGUCUGAGAGGACGACCAGCCACACUGGGACUGAGACACGGCCCAGACUCCUACGGGAGGCAGCAGUGGGGAGUUUUGGACAAUGGGCGCAAGCCUGAUCCAGCCAUGCCGCGUGUGGGAAGAAGGCCUUCGGGUUGUAAACCACUUUUGUCAGGGAAGAAACGGUCUGAUCUAAUAAAUCGGACUAAUGACGGUACCUGAAGAAUAAGCACCGGCUAACUACGUGCCAGCCGCCGCAGUAAUAC